rnacentral:rRNA from 1 species
CCUACGGGAGGCUGCAGUGGGGAAUAUUGCACAAUGGGGGCAACUCUGAUGCAGCGACGCCGCGUGCGUGAAGAAGUCUUUCGGUAUAUAAAGCUCUAUCAGCAGGGAAGUAAAUGACGGUACCUGAUUAUGAAGCCCCGGCUAACUACGUGCCAGCAGCCGCGGUAAUACGUAGGGGGCCAGCGUUAUCCGGAUUUACUGGGUGUAAAGGGAGCGUAGACGGCAGCACAAGUCUGGAGUGAAAUGCCGGGGCUUAACCCCGGAACUGCUUUGGAAACUGUGCAGCUAGAGUGCAGGAGAGGUAAGUGGAAUUCCUAGUGUAGCGGUGAAAUGCUUAGAUAUUAGGAGGAACACCAGUGGCGAAGGCGGCUUACUGUACUGUAACUGACGUUGAGGCUCGAAAGCGUGGGGAGCAAACAGGAUUAGAUACCCGAGUAGUC